CGUUCGCAAACCGUAGCUGGUUUUUGAUUCCACUCUUUAUAAGUUUGUACGGAUAAACUAGAAAAACACACUGUAUUAUAUCAUCAUAUGCGGCUUAAUACAUCUAGCUAGUUUACUGGCAUUGCUAAAUUUCGGCAAUAUUUAUGAUAAACAAAUGAUAAGGUGUACAGAAAAAUCCUGUUUAUAUCUGUAAUGCGAAACAGUAAAUCAUAGCUAUCGAAAAACGAUUCUGAACGGAAUUCGGUUAAAAACAAAUGCCGCGACGUUUUACGGUUUUAACCGCUAGAGAUUUUUGAUAUUUCCAUAUAGUGUCAUAAGAAAAACAUACCUACACUAUGUUGUAUGAACUAUGCACCGAAUUCCCAAACGUU